CUCACGGCUGAUUUGCUAUCACCUUCGUCUCACGACCUUCUUUCUCGACUUUGCGUGCGUCAUAAUAACCAGCUGUUUCGCUAAUUAAAAUAUCAAUUAGACUUAAUAAAGAGACGUGACUGCUCAUAGUAAACACUGUCACUGGUGAUAGGCACUGCAUCGUUCAUCGAAUGAAUGUAAAAGAUUACCAAUGAAUUAGCAUUCAGAAAAUUUAUCACCACUCGUAAAAUGGAAUCACAUAGUUAAAAAUGUCCUUAAAUGAUAGUUUAAGUUUCUAUAAUCUUUUCCUAUUUACUGUGUGUGUUAUUUACAAAUAAAUAGAACUGAAUUUGAAACUUGCCAGUUUUCUAAAUAUGAAUUAAGAUAUGAAAAUGCUUUUCAUGGGUAUUGUAUUUCAUAAUCUAUAACUCAUAGAAAAUACUACACAAUGUACAAAUAACAAACGCUAAAACUCUUAAAAUGUUUUUAAAAGUGCAGUAGCUAAAAGCCAUUUGAAAAGGUAAAGACCUAGAAAGACUUGACUCAGAAUAUGGAUAGCUUUGUGGCAAACAAAUCAAAUACGUACGUGCACCUAUUUAUACGCUCAAAAUAGAUAUUUAUUGUUUUUCUAGAUAGCUAUUUCUUUAACACAAUCAUAAUGAAGCAUUUCAAUGGGUAAUGCGUAGAUACAAGAGUAAUAUUUAUUUAUAUUACUCCUAUUUAUAAAAGUGGUAGUGUAGAUUAGUUGACCAUGUUUAUUUACUUGUAAAAAUAGUAUUUGAUAUUAAAAUUCGUCUUGAAUGUUAAAUGUUAUUAUAGAAAAAACAAAUGGAAAUCUGAAUAAUAAUUAUAGCUAUUCAGUUUAAGCACGAUGGGUAUUGAGCAUUGUCGAAGAUGCAAAAGCAAGAUUGUGUUCAAUUGGUUUUACAGUGUGGUGAAGGAAAAAGCCAAAGUAGAUUUUCGAAGAUCUGUGAGUUUUAGUCCUUAGUUGCCUGCUCUUUACUGCGUGUCGAGAAAGAUGGCAGGUGGUCUCCCCAUUUUAUACACGAUGCUCAAUUACAUCCAACAUAAAAAAUUCAUACACAACUUUGGAUUUUAAAACAGUGGGAACAGGAUUUUUGAAAAUUAAGUGAUUUUUAAUUUUAACACUAUAAAUACAAGACAAUUUGUUAUUUUUAA